AAACUGGGCCCAUACACGGGGCGGGGGGGCAAGGGAGAGGGAAGAAAAAGGCAGACCACUCCACAUUGGUAGGUGGCAGGUUUAAUAAGCAAGAGAACUUAGUUACGAGGCACGUGCUUGUCUUCGGCAGCUGCAAGAAGAGCAGAUCUUCUCACCUGCCCACCAGAAAGACCAAAAUACCCAUCUGGAGAAGGAUGGCCUCUUCUUCAAGUGAUCACCACCACACUACAGUAGGUGCAGUCAGAUACGAUUCCUCCAUCUAUCAAACAAGGUCAAGUCUAACAAUCAAAGAGUAUUAGCAUAAAGGAUAUUCAUAACUUGAGAGGCACAGAAACAAAAAAGGUUGGUGGUGCUCUGAAACAAAAAAGUUUGCUCCUGUUUUGGUGAGAUCUUUCUAUUCAGACUUCCCUGUUGUGGUGGAAAGCCCCAGGACUGAUUUUUCUCUCACCCAUCUACUAGAUUCAGUAGCCUCCUCGUCUGAGACUGGAUUAAUGCUCAUCAUAGAGAAUCAGCCUUCAAAAGCAGAAGAAUUUAUCCUUCAUACUCUAGAUUUUAAUAGCUUCUCUUAGACUAUUGAAGACUCAAACAUAUUUUCAGCCUCUAUCGAUGGUCCAAAAUUUCAGCAAUAAAAAUUACUAUAAUAUAUAAAUAUGAAUUAUAAAUCCUAAAAAAAUAU
rnacentral:lncRNA from 1 species